CAGAGGGCGCCCGCGCCCAGGCCGCUAAGCCCUCAGCGCAUGCGCUGCGGGCGCCCGCGGAUUUUGUCAGAAAGUGGAAACUCUCCGCGAAGGCUUUCCUCGCCGCUGCGGCUCGCGCCUUGCUUCUUCCCCUAGGUUCACCUGCCUGCCCGAGUGACUGAGAGCCGAGCGGACCGGCCCCCGCCGCCCGGAACGCACUUCCAGUCCCAUGGAGCCCGAACUCCUGCUCGGCAUCUCUACUUUCCGCUCCGGCUGAGCUGCUCUGGAGCCCGAGACCGGGGAGGCGCGACUCUCGGCCCACAGCCGCACCGCCGCCGGGUGCUGUCCGCCCUCCGAGACCCGCGCCAGAGCCUUUGAAACUGGCAGAGGACGCUGCACCAGGAAAUCUGUGGACUUGGGAUGAGGCAAGCCCCUGGACUGCUCUGAGGACAGGGCUCUGGAUACUGGAGCACAUCGUAUGGGACUGGGACUCCAAUGGCAAACAUGACUUCAUUGGCGAAUACACCUCAGCAUUCAAGGAGAUGAGAGGAGUGAUGGAAGGGAAACAGGUACGUGGUAAACCACUCGUGCCAUUUCCCCAGGCUCAUCUCUCAUGA
rnacentral:lncRNA from 1 species